ensembl:snRNA U6 U6 spliceosomal RNA
AUGCUCACUUCAAUAGUAUAUAUACUAAAAUUGGAAUGAUACAGAGAUUAUUAGUAUGGCCCCUGUGCGAAGAUGACAUGCAAAUUCAUGAAGAGUUCCAUAUUUUU